UGGGGAAUAUUGGACAAUGGGCGCAAGCCUGAUCCAGCCAUGCCGCGUGAGUGAUGAAGGCCCUAGGGUUGUAAAGCUCUUUCACCGGUGAAGAUAAUGACGGUAACCGGAGAAGAAGCCCCGGCUAACUUCGUGCCAGCAGCCGCGGUAAUACGAAGGGGGCUAGCGUUGUUCGGAUUUACUGGGCGUAAAGCGCACGUAGGCGGACUUUUAAGUCAGGGGUGAAAUCCCGGGGCUCAACCCCGGAACUGCCUUUGAUACUGGAAGUCUUGAGUAUGGUAGAGGUGAGUGGAAUUCCGAGUGUAGAGGUGAAAUUCGUAGAUAUUCGGAGGAACACCAGUGGCGAAGGCGGCUCACUGGACCCUUACUGACGCUGAGGUGCGAAAGCGUGGGGAGCAAACAGG
rnacentral:rRNA from 1 species